rnacentral:rRNA from 1 species
AUUGAACGCUGGCGGCAUGCCUUACACAUGCAAGUCGAACGGCAGCACGGGUGCUUGCACCUGGUGGCGAGUGGCGAACGGGUGAGUAAUACAUCGGAACAUGUCCUGUAGUGGGGGAUAGCCCGGCGAAAGCCGGAUUAAUACCGCAUACGAUCUACGGAUGAAAGCGGGGGACCUUCGGGCCUCGCGCUAUAGGGUUGGCCGAUGGCUGAUUAGCUAGUUGGUGGGGUAAAGGCCUACCAAGGCGACGAUCAGUAGCUGGUCUGAGAGGACGACCAGCCACACUGGGACUGAGACACGGCCCAGACUCCUACGGGAGGCAGCAGUGGGGAAUUUUGGACAAUGGGGGAAACCCUGAUCCAGCAAUGCCGCGUGUGUGAAGAAGGCCUUCGGGUUGUAAAGCACUUUUGUCCGGAAAGAAAUCCUUGGUCCUAAUAUGGCCGGGGGAUGACGGUACCGGAAGAAUAAGCACCGGCUAACUACGUGCCAGCCGCCGCCGUAAUAC